rnacentral:rRNA from 1 species
ACCGUAGGGCCCGAGCGUUACCCGGAAUCACUGGGCGUAAAGCGCACGCAGGCGGCCUGGUAAGUCGGGCGUGAAAUCUCCCAGCUCAACUGGGAGGGGCCGUCCGAUACUGCUGGGCUUGAGGGCGGGAGAGGGAGGUGGAAUUCCCGGUGUAGCGGUGAAAUGCGUAGAGAUCGGGAGGAACGCCAGUGGGGAAGCCGGCCUCCUGGCCCGUCCCUGACGCUCAGGUGCGAAAGCCAGGGGAGAGAACGGG